rnacentral:rRNA from 1 species
GGAAGUGAACCAUCUCAGUACCCGGAGGAAGAGAAAACAACCGUGAUUCCGAUAGUAGUGGCGAGCGAAAUCGGAUCAGCCUAAACCAGGCGAUUCGCAAGGAGAGCCUGGGGUUGCAGGACCACAAUGUGGGAGGAGGCGCGUUAGUCGAAUGGCCUGGAAAGGCCGGCCAUAGAAGGUGACAGCCCUGUAGACGAAAAUUCGACCUCCCCCUAGUGGGAUCCUAAGUACCGCGGGACACGUGAAACCCUGCGGGAACCGGCCGGGACCAUCCGGCAAGGCUAAAUACUCACUUGCGACCGAUAGCGAACCAGUACCGUGAGGGAAAGGUGAAAAGAACCCCUGCGAGGGGAGUGAAAUAGUACCUGAAACCACACGCUUACAAGCAGUCGAAGGGCUAUACCCGCAAGGGGAUGCCUGACGUCGUGCCUAUUGCAUAAUGAGCCGGCUAGUU